rnacentral:lncRNA from 1 species
AUGCCCAGAAAAUAUGGUAAGCUAUGUUAACAAGCCAUAUUAGAUAUCAAGCAUUAAUAUGGAAAUAAACCAGCCCACCUGCACCCAGGUGAAAUAAACAGCUUUAUUGCUCACACAAAGCCUGUUUGGUGGUCUCUUCACAUGGACGCGCAUGAAAUUUGGUGCCGUGACUCGGAUCGGGGGACCUCCCUUGGGAGAUCAAUCCCCUGUCCUCCUGCUCUUUGCUCCGUGAGAAACAUCCACCUAUGGCCUCAGGUCCUCAGACCGACCAGCCCAAGAAACAUCUCACCAAUUUCAAAUCCGGCAUUGGGCUCUCACCAUUGGCCAAGAUUCCCUGCCCCGGUGAGGCCGGAAGCAGUUCAGACACCUGACUUCUGGCAACAUGUGAGCCUGACCCAAGCAGAUCACUGGUGACCAGUAAAUAUUGAAGCUCCAAGACAAAUCCUGCCCUGAUUCUGGGGACCAUGCCUGUGGAGAUGCACAGUUCUACCAUUCAAAAUGACUAUCUGAAAAUACCUCCUAAGAAGGACAAAACUUUUCUUCAGCCAAGAGGGCACUUGUUAAUAUGAUUAGAUACAUAUGUAAUGGUGUCCCCCUCCCCUCUUAGCCCCUCAGUGUGUGUUCUCUCAGUCAGUGUAUCUACAUGCAGGAGACAUUAAAGGAUGGAUGUAACUUCAGACCUUCAUUUCCCCAUAAGUAUUGCUUUCAGAGAAUAUCUAAUGAAGUCACAUGGAUGAAGAUUUCUGUAUCAUUUGUUUCCCAGAAUGGCUCUCCAACUUACAUUUCAUCAUCCACCCACAUAUCCACUUAUCCAUUCAACCUUCAUGUACUGACUGAAAACUCCUCUUAUAUAGUUUUCCUCAGCAGUUUCCUCUUCUGGGGAUUUUCUGCUGUUUUGGUAACCUGUUUUAAUGUUGUAUUUUAUGUGUUCCUAAGGGCAAUGCAAGUUGUUUAAAGAGGCAAUUAUCUCAUGUGAUUUAUGAGAUUUGCUGGACAAAUUCCAAUAAAAAAUGUACUUGAGAAGUAUGUCACAGGUUUAUUGCUGGUAUCAAUAAAGUCUCUAUAGUGUGUGGCAAUCCAUGUUUUAAAAGGAGUUAGCUUUGUGAUCAUAGAUUAUCAAAUCUAAUAUGCCACCAAUUAUAAGAUUUAUUCCAGUUUUUGAGAUGUAAAAAUGUAAAAAAUAAAGGUCAGCAAUUAUUUUAUAAUUUCAUGUAUUGUAAGAUAUAUGUAGAAUCAAAAGACGGUAAAAUGUGAAAUAAAGUGCACCUAAGAAUUGAUUAAAUAGGUUAUGGCCUUAAUAAUUCCUUUGCAAGUUUCUCCUAUACAUUACUAAUGGUAAAAUAAGUAAACUGAAUAAUAUUGAUAGGAAUAAAAACAAUAAGUUGGAGGAGAUUCAAUAGUGAUAACAGCCGACAUUCAUCUAGUGCCUAGUAUGGGUUGGGCAAU